CUGGGCUCCAAUGAGCAGGCUGCUAAGGCAGGCGGCCGACCCCAACUGGGGAACUACUAGUCCCGACAAACGAUUCUUCCGGAAGUCUCCAGAGUAGAAAAGUUUGCUAUGGAAGCGGAGAGAUGCAUUCUGGGAGUUGUAGUCCCAACUCGUCGCAGUGAACUGGUCUAUUUUCGACUCUUGGCUGGGAAGGUCACAGUGAAGCCGGCGGCUUGACCGGCCUCGAGAAGUCUUGAAAGCCGUCAAUUCAGUAAGAGUCGAGAAGUUCCUUCUUCCGAGGGUUCCACAUCCUUAUCCUUAGGGACACGGAAGUAGUGGCAUUUUUUUACUAAGUUCUCAAGCCACUGUUUGAUGACAGCUCUCUUUCCUUGUUUUUUCAAGCCUAGUGGUGAUAACUUCCAGCCGUUGCUAGUCCCGGGGUUCUUUACAAUCGUCUGUCUGUCCCCUUAAAGCUGAGCACACUUUGGUAAACACUUCAUUCAGCUCUCUUCUGUUACCCUUCCACCCCUGCGUGUGUGUGGCUGCUUUCUCUCUGUAUAUCUAAAGCAAAUCAACCAGCUAACUGACAAGGUGCAGGAUGGUGACAAAUGAAUCAGACCCUUUUCCAUCCGUGUGGGCACCAGACUACUUUGUAUAUAAGAUUCUGAUCAACUCCGAAGCCUGGAGAAAUUGCCAAAAUUCCCUCAGAAGCCAAAGCUCUUUGUGGGUGUGAGGGGACUAAGAGAGUGGAACUCUCCAAACACUCCUUCAAGCCACUGCCGAAGUCAAUCAGAGCAGAUCUGCUUUAAUAAACUGUUUAAUUUAUUGAG